rnacentral:rRNA from 1 species
UACAGAGGGGGCAAGCGUUGUUCGGAAUUACUGGGCGUAAAGGGCGCGUAGGCGGCCGGCUAAGUCGAACGUGAAAUCCCCGGGCUCAACCCGGGAACUGCGUCCGAUACUGGUCGGCUUGAAUUCGGGAGAGGGAUGCGGAAUUCCAGGUGUAGCGGUGAAAUGCGUAGAUAUCUGGAGGAACACCGGUGGCGAAGGCGGCAUCCUGGACCGACAUUGACGCUGAGGCGCGAAAGCUAGGGGAGCAAACAGG